GACGAACGUUGGCGGCGUGCUUAACACAUGCAAGUCGAACGGAAAGGCCCUGCUUUUGUGGGGUGCUCGAGUGGCGAACGGGUGAGUAACACGUGAGUAACCUGCCCUUGACUUUGGGAUAACUUCAGGAAACUGGGGCUAAUACCGGAUAGGAGCUCCUGCUGCAUGGUGGGGGUUGGAAAGUUUCGGCGGUUGGGGAUGGACUCGCGGCUUAUCAGCUUGUUGGUGGGGUAGUGGCUUACCAAGGCUUUGACGGGUAGCCGGCCUGAGAGGGUGACCGGCCACAUUGGGACUGAGAUACGGCCCAGACUCCUACGGGAGGCAGCAGUGGGGAAUAUUGCACAAUGGGCGGAAGCCUGAUGCAGCAACGCCGCGUGCGGGAUGACGGCCUUCGGGUGGUAAACCGCUUUCGCCUGUGACGAAGCGUGAGUGACGGUAAUGGGUAAAGAAGCACCGGCUAACUACGU
rnacentral:rRNA from 1 species